rnacentral:rRNA from 1 species
ACAUGCAAGUCGAACGGUAACAGGAAGAAGCUUGCUUCUUUGCUGACGAGUGGCGGACGGGUGAGUAAUGUCUGGGAAACUGCCUGAUGGAGGGGGAUAACUACUGGAAACGGUAGCUAAUACCGCAUAACGUCGCAAGACCAAAAAGGGGGACCUUCGGGCCUCUUGCCAUCGGAUGUGCCCAGAUGGGAUUAGCUAGUAGGUGGGGUAACGGCUCACCUAGGCGACGAUCCCUAGCUGGUCUGAGAGGAUGACCAGCCACACUGGAACUGAGACACGGUCCAGACUCCUACGGGAGGCAGCAGUGGGGAAUAUUGCACAAUGGGCGCAAGCCUGAUGCAGCCAUGCCGCGUGUAUGAAGAAGGCCUUCGGGUUGUAAAGUACUUUCAGCGGGGAGGAAGGGAGUAAAGUUAAUACCUUUGCUCAUUGACGUUACCCGCAGAAGAAGCACCGGCUAACUCCGUGCCAGCAGCCGCGGUAAUACGGAGGGUGCAAGCGUUAAUCGGAAUUACUGGGCGUAAAGCGCACGCAGGCGGUUUGUUAAGUCAGAUGUGAAAUCCCCGGGCUCAACCUGGGAACUGCAUCUGAUACUGGCAAGCUUGAGUCUCGUAGAGGGGGGUAGAAUUCCAGGUGUAGCGGUGAAAUGCGUAGAGAUCUGGAGGAAUACCGGUGGCGAAGGCGGCCCCCUGGACGAAGACUGACGCUCAGGUGCGAAAGCGUGGGGAGCAAACAGGA